GUGUGGCUUCAUUCCGAACUCCCCUGACCGUCCGAGCUUCCAUAAUACCAUCCGGAUUUCUCCAAUAAUGGGCUCCUCCAAUCAUCUACCAGACUGCUCCAAAUGCUCUCUGAGCUUCACUAUCAGCCGAUUUUCUACAGUGAUCGACUAUUCUCCGAAUCUCAGCCUAGAUUUCUUCCGACCACGAACAACUUUACUCCGAACUUCUUUCGGACUUUGUCAAUAUCCGAGCUUCUCUAAUAGCAGGACUUCUACAGUAAUCAGAUUCCAUCAAAGUUUUUAUGACGAUCGACCACCUCCCGAAUUUCAUCCGAGCUCCAACGAGAGCUAGAUCCCAGCCGAACUUUUACAGCGGAUGGAUUCCAGACAAACUCCUACAACGGACAGACUCC
rnacentral:lncRNA from 1 species